UGGCCUGUGUCUGUGUCACAGAGAUGCAAAGGAGCAAGGCAAACAUCAAGAUGUGGGAUUUCUGCAAAUAUUUCAUGAAAAUGUGGUUCUGUUUUACAGCUUUCUGUGUAUGCUGGCAGACUGAUACAGAAUCAGGUGGUUACGCUGCUGAGGUUUGCAACAACAGCAGAGAGAAGCAACAGCUAAGGGACCUAUUUCUCAAUAUCAAAUGUGUGAUAAACUUUGAAAUACCUUGCCUUUGUCCAUGAGAAGAACAGAAAAUAAGGUUGUAAAUUUCAGAAAAGUUUCCUGGAACAGAAAAAUUUUCAUUCUUAAUUCUGAUUUAAAGACAAGAGUCUUGAAGGGCUUCCAUACACCUUUGAAAAUAGACUGGAGGUGACAUAAAUGCCAAGUUACUGAAUAUGAAAGCAAUGCAAAGUGAUCCAGAGUUGUGACUCCGAAGUCGUCACUAGAAAGGUGGAAGAAGCCAGAGGUAAGUACUGGCAAUUGUCAGAAGAGGUGACCAAGUUACAUUUUCUUCAUUAAUGCUAUCACCCAGGAGGCAGGAGAGAAAGCAAGCAUGGAUGG
rnacentral:lncRNA from 1 species